CUAAAUGUCCCUUGAAUUAAUCAAGACUUUUGCAGUAAAAACAAAUGAAAUGAUGUUGGUUAUAUAUCUGUCAUCUCUCAUUCGAAGUGUAAUUGCACUCCAUAACUUGAUCAAUAACAAGAUGCUAAACAAAGAACAUGAGAAAGCCGAGGACGCAAAGC